ensembl:lncRNA
GUGACGUAAAUUCCCUGCUUUGGAAUUUUAUUCAGCCUCUUUUCUCCACUAAAUUUCCUCACUGAGCUAUCCUCAUCCUAUUACUCUUUAUAUCUUUGAUAAAAUAUUUAAAUAAAUAGGUUGUCGACGCCGUCCCCGCUUUGAAUACCCUGGAUCAGCCGGGGCUGGACCCCGGCACAGAACAGCAGGGUUUAUUCAGUACCGGUGCCCGCUCGGCAGAGUUACUUCCAAAGGCUGAGUGUCCUGGCUUUGUUCUGGGUGUCUUUUAUACACCAGAAACUUCUAGCUCAAAAAGCUCAGAUCCCUCCCCUGCAACAAGCAAGCAAGAUCACAGAAGCGAAAGUGGUGAUUGAUGAGCAGCAGCUGUUUAAAACAAGAUAAGGGAAGAGAAAGCAAAAGGUUGUUACUUUCAUUGGGGCCUUUGAUCUCUCUCCCGUCUCAGAAGACCCCUCUGAGGGCGUCUUGGGGCUGGCCUGGAGCAUACUUCUUGUCAGGCUUCUGGGACUCCAGAGGCGUUCAGAUGCCCUCUCGGCUGGCGAGGGUCCUGCUCCUAGCUCCACCCCAUGCAGUUCACACCACCACUGGACCCCCUCUGCCUUCCUCUGCCUGCUGUGCCCAUCUUGGGGCCUGCUACCUGGAUGGCCCACGUCACUGUGGGGCAGGCGGCUCCUGCAGGACCGCACCUGGGCCUGGAGAAGCCCGCUGGCCCCCCCAAGGGUGGCACCACCUUGCUGGUUCUGCUGCAGAGGUCUAGAUGCUGGGCACGCAGGGCCUUGGCACCCCCCGGCCACCAGGACCCUGGCAGCUCUUCUCAGUCUACAGCUGGGAGACAGGUCAGGGAGGACAGGAAUUACGGAGCCACCAGGGAGGCCCCGGGGACCCGGACAGCAGACCAGAGAAAAGACACCUCUCCGCAGCAUGCAACUCAGCCAGUCUGCAACAGCGGAACCAAUGGGAAGCCUCCAUCAACCAUACCCUUAGUUCCUCCAAUGGACUCUUCCGUGAUCAUCGCGGCCCCGCCCAUCUCCUCCUUUUUCCUAUAAAAGCAAGUUCUCCGUCCUUGUCCUGUGGGUUUGCUUACAGUCGGCACCAGAUUGCUUGUCUGAAGUCGAAAUUUCUGUUGCUGUUCCUGAGUAAACUUGCUUUUGCCAGUAAACUAUCUGGCUGUUAUAUUAUUGAAGUUGACAGUUACUAGGUCAAGACUGUUAGUCAUGAUGUGCAAAUAUUCUAUAGCUUUAUUAAUGUCCUGCCUUGUUCUAUUGAUGCUUUUGAACUGUGAUGUUGGAGGAGACUCUUGAGAGUCCUUUGGACAACAAGGAGAGCAAACCAGUCAACCCGAAAGGAAGUCAACCCUGAAUAUUCAUUGGAAGGACUGAUGCUGAAGCUGAAGCUCCAAUACUUUGGCCUCCUGAUGCGAAGAACUGACUCACUGGAAAAGACUCUGAUGCUGGGAAAAUUGACGGCAGGAGGAGAAGGGGAUGACAGAGGAUGAGAUGGUUGGAUGGAAUCACGGACUCCGUGGACAUGAGUUUGACAAGCUCCGGGAGAUAGUGAAGGACAGGGAUGCCUGGCGUGCUGCAGUCCAUGGGAUCACAGAGUCGGGCACGACUGAAUGAAUGAACUGAACUGAAAUUGUUCUAUCUUACACAGAGAAAAAUGUACUGAAAUCUACCAACUUGUCUUUUGCUUCUGUUGAUGUUUGCUUUAAAUUUUGUGGCUAUGUUAAUAGAUGCUUAUCCAUUUAGAAUCAUUUCAGCCUCUCGGAUUUACCCUUUGGUAAUUACGAAAAGCUCUCCACUAUAGUAAUGCAUGUUGUGUUGGAAUCACCUUUGUCUGACAUUAGAUGCUCUACCACCCUUCCUUUGUUUACUGUUUGCAGCGUAUGCCCGUGACUAGCUUCUGAUCCAACAUCUGCACCAGCCCAGGACGCUGCCCACCCUCCACCCCUACCCCCAACCGCCAAGUCUGGAGAUUACACUGGAGCGUCCUGGUGCAGCCAAGCGGGGCUGGGCCGCUAGGGGCGCCAGAGGGAGCGGUGGGGCUGGUGCCGGGGGAGCACACACUCCUUCCGCGGUAAUUCCGGUUGUGUUUGGCCUGUUCCGGGGUCUGCCGAGUUCGGGGCCUGAGGCCUUUGCGCAGGUUUGAGCGUUUCCGUCCGCAGUUGCUUAACGAGGCCGCGGUUGUGCUGGCCCGGAAGCCUCGGGCUCCACUCUCCCCGUGGAGGGGGGUCUCGUCAGCUCCGUGAGCUGGCCCGUUCCUUGGCGCUUCUGCAUGUUAGCGGUUUCCUGAGGCCGGGCCGGCCGCUUGGUGUUACAGCACCUGGGAGCUGAGAAUGUCUUUCCUACACGUAAAC